UAGGAAAACAAGAGGCCUGGCGCCACAUACUCCUCCUCCAUGGGGAGAUGAUGAGAGAACAAAGAACAUGUGAUGGAUGUGAGACACAUCACAUAAUGUGAUGGCCUCAGAUAGUCAGAUGAGCAAGGAUCCAAGCUUCCACAGGACAGAAUGACACCUGAAUUUCUACAAGAGAUUUCAAUCGAAAGUGAAGAUGCUGGGGUGAAUCCCUGCCCUUUGUACAGGAUUGCUGGUGUGCUUCAAAUUCUCACCUCAAUGUGAAUUAACUUCAAGAUGAAGAUGAAGCCUACAUCAAAUAACAAAAUCAACUGUUGCUUUGUCCCAGAUUUGAAGAAAAGGCCUACCUGCAGCUUCAGCAGUAGAUCACCAAGAGAGUGUAUCUUCUGUACCAGGUCAUGGGAGUUCAGCUCAGAGUUGUACAGUAGAAAGAGCAUGCCUGCAGUCUCUUCAAGACAUCAGACUGCUGUAAGUCAGCCAUGCACAUGGCCCUGAAGGGAUAUCUACAAGGUCCUUGUAUCUUCAUUGUGAAUGCUUCUUAUUUCAGAGAACAAGAGAAAAGGAUUGUUUUGUUUUAGUUGCAGUUUUUUCUUUACUGUAAACUUUAAAUUAAAAUGUUGAAAUAUAUUGUGUGCCUUAUAUGUUCCUUCUAAGUUCUGAAAAAAAAGUGCAUUGUUCAUUCAGGAUGAGUAAAAAUUUUCUAAAUCAUUUUCCUCCUUGUUUUAGGUUUAUACAAAGUCCAUCGUGCUUCGAACACAAGAAUUUUAUUAGCAACAUUCUCAGGGUUGUGAAAUAUUUAGAAGCGAAUAAGGAACUUGCAAGCAACUUUACAGUAAACACAUUUAUGCUUAUAUGAAAUGGGUUGCAGAUUUUAAUGUGAAGACCUUGUCUGCUUGUGUAUAUAUGUAUAUGGAUAUGACGUGAAUAUGUGGAUAUCCCUUGGAAAGGAUUGAUACAUUCUAAUAAAGUGGUGAAAAACAGUUACUGAGAGGGAACU
rnacentral:lncRNA from 1 species